rnacentral:rRNA from 1 species
UUGGCUUAGAAGCAGCCAUCCUUUAAAGAAAGCGUAAUAGCUCACCAGUCAAGGAGGUAUGCCCCGAAAAUGGACGGGGCUAAAUUAGCUACCGAUACUAUAGACUCCAGAAAUGGAUGUGGUAGAUAGGCGUUCUGUAAGGACAGAAGUUUUCUUGUAAAAGGAGAUGGACCUUAUAGAAAUGAGAAUCCUGGCGGUAGUAGGAUCAGAACAGAGUGAGAAUCUCUGAUACCGUAAGACUAAGGUUUUCUUAGCAAUAUAGUUUAGCUAAGAGUAAGUCGAUCCUAACUAAGUUCCUAAUUGGACACUUGGGAAAGGGAAACAGGUUAAUAUUCCUGUACUAUCUAAAUUUUUGCUUAAGUUAAACUUUGGGAUAAACUAACAAUUCUCGUCGGGAUUGUUCUUAAAAACAAGUUAGUGGAGUACUGUAAUAGUGAGAAACUGACUAAGUUUAGGAAGCUAGCAAUAGUUUAGUUGAGUCCUAGAGUCCGUGAAAGAAGCUUAAGGCCGGUUUAGAUAAUCGUACCCAGAACCUGCACUGGUGGUCUAGCUGAGAAGGCUAAGGUAUGAGAGAACAAUCUAACUAAGGGAAUUCGGCAAAAUAGCUCCGUGUCUUCGGUAUAAGGAGUCCCUGCGAUUGUUAGUUUAGCUAGCGAUUACAGGGUGCAAUGACAAGGGGGGUCCGACUGUUUAACAAAAACACAGCAAUCUGCUAGCCAGCAAUGGUUUGUAUAGAUUGCCACGUCUGCCCAGUGCUAGUACUUGAAACUCUUUUCCAAGAGAGCUAAGAGCUAGUAAACGGCGGGAAUAACUAUAAUUCUCUUAAGGUAGCGAAAUGCCUUGCCGUUUGAAUGACGGCCUGCAUGAAUGGCGUAACGAGAUCUCCACUGUCCCUAGUUAGAGUCUCCUGAACACACUAUUCUGGUGCAAAAGCCAGAGAUGCCUAGUGGGAAGUAAAGACCCCGUGGAACUUUACUGUAGUAUGUUGUUGCGAUGUGGAACUUAUUGUGCAGUAUAGGUAGGAGUUGCUAUGGCUUGGUCGUCAGAUCAAGUCUAGACAAAAGUGAGAUACUACCCUUUAAGUUUUAUAUUGCUCACCUCAUGGGACAUCAGCAUGCGGACAGUUUGGCUGGGGCGGCACCCUGCUGAAAGGAUAUCAGCAGGACCCAGAGGUAAGCUCAUCCAGUUUAGAAAUCUGGAGUAGAGUGUAAGAGCAAAAGCUUGCCUGACUGUGUUUUUAACAGUAGGAAACGCAGGAACGAAAGUUGGGUCUAGUGAACGUCUGUACCUCUUUAAUGGGGGUCAGAUAUUAUAGAAAAGCUAUCCCGGGGAUAAUUGAGUCGUAGCGCCUAAGAGCUCAGAUCGACGGCGCUGCUUGCUACUUCGAUGUCGGCUCUUCCUAUCCUGGGUGUGCAGAAUUGUACACAGGAAGGGUUACUCAAUUAGUUUUUACUUUUGUAAACUACGUUGAAACAAUAAUACUCUUUCAUGUCCACUGUGGGCGCCCAAGGGUGAAGGUGUUCACUUAUUAAAAGGGAUCGUGAGCUGGGUUAAGUACGUUGUGAGACAGUAUGUAUAAUAUCUACUAGGUAUGUCCAAGAUCUGAAUGGAAGGACCCUUUAGUACGAGAGGAACAAGGGUUCGGCGCCUCUAGUUUACCUGUUGUCUGAUAAGGCAGGCAGGGCAGCCACGCGCUAUGGGAUAAGAGCUGAAAGCAUCUAAGCUCGAAACCCUCCGUGAAAAUAGAUUUAAAGCACUCUUCAUAACAGGAGUUUGAUAGGCUCGGGGUGUAAGCUUCAAGGCAACGAGAAGUUCAGCCUGCGAGUACUAAUAGCUUAAAUUGCCAUAUCUA